CCUACGGGGGGCAGCAGUGAGGAAUAUUGGUCAAUGGACGAGAGUCUGAACCAGCCAAGUCGCGUGAAGGAUGAAUGCCCUAUGGGUUGUAAACUUCUUUUAUAUGGGAAUAAAAUGUUCCACGUGUGGGAUUUUGUAUGUACCAUAUGAAUAAGGAUCGGCUAACUCCGUGCCAGCAGCCGCGGUAAUACGGAGGAUCCGAGCGUUAUCCGGAUUUAUUGGGUUUAAAGGGAGCGUAGGUGGAUUGUUAAGUCAGUGGUGAAAGUUUGCGGCUCAACCGUAAAAUUGCAGUUGAAACUGGCAGUCUUGAGUACAGUAGAGGUGGGCGGAAUGCGUGGUGUAGCGGUGAAAUGCUUAGAUAUCACGAAGAACUCCGAUUGCGAAGGCAGUUCACUGGACUGCAACUGACACUGAGGCUCGAAAGUGUGGGUAUCAAACAGGAUUAGAUACCCCAGUAGUC
rnacentral:rRNA from 1 species